CUGACAACUAAACUUGAACAACAUUUUCAGUAAUACUUUACACUGCAGCCAAAAAAGUAUUUACAUUUUUUCCAAGUUCUAUUUGGAUUUUUCCAAGAAAAUAUGUGAUUUUCCUAUAGUUGUUAUCACAGUUUCACUUGAUUCACUCUGUACAACCCCAUUAAAGAAAUACGAAACACUUGUAAUAGUAGCCAAUCACCACUCGUAGAGCCACUUCUUCUAGUCACUGCUGCUAGGUCUGCUCACAGUGCUCCGAAAUGUCCAUAUAUUACACCAAUGAUCUCAAAGAACCUGUCAUGGACCAGGAGCACCAUGUACGAGCUUAUUAGAAAUGGACACUCUGUGACCUUACCUAUGAGUUUAAAAUUCAGUAUGUGGGGCUCAGCAGUAUACAUUUCAACAACCUCCCUGCCCCGGGUAAUUUAAUGCGUACCCAAGCUUGAGAUCUGCUUCCCUAGAUGAUAAACCCAACCCCUCUGUGAAGCCGGCCCUUUUGACCUGUGCUUUCACAAUCUCACCAUCCUGUGAGCUUUGCCCUCCCGUUGCAUCAACCACACACAGCAGUACGUUAUUUCCCUGCCUUCCAUUAUCAAGAUAAAGCACAAUUUUUUUUAGAUUUUUUUUAAAAAAUGAUUCAU